rnacentral:rRNA from 1 species
GGCGAGUGAAGCGGCAACAGCUCAAAUUUGAAAUCUGGCCCUCGGGUCCGAGUUGUAAUUUGUAGAGGAUGCUUUUGGUGAGGUACCUUCCGAGUUCCCUGGAACGGGACGCCAUAGAGGGUGAGAGCCCCGUCUGGUUGGAUACCGAUCCUCUGUAAAGCUCCUUCGACGAGUCGAGUAGUUUGGGAAUGCUGCUCUAAAUGGGAGGUAUAUGUCUUCUAAAGCUAAAUACCGGCCAGAGACCGAUAGCGCACAAGUAGAGUGAUCGAAAGAUGAAAAGCACUUUGAAAAGAGAGUUAAAAAGUACGUGAAAUUGUUGAAAGGGAAGCGCUUAUGACCAGACUUGGGCUUGGUUGAUCAUCCUGGGUUCUCCCUGGUGCACUCUUCCAGUUCAGGCCAGCAUCAGUUCGCUGCGGGGGAUAAAAGCUUUAGGAAUGUGGCUCCCUCGGGAGUGUUAUAGACUAUUGCAUAAUACCCUGCUCCGGACUGAGGUUCGCGCAUCUGCAAGGAUGCUGGCGUAAUGGUCAUCAGCGACCCGUCUUGAAACACGGACCAAGGAGUCGUCUUCGUAUGCGAGUGUUCGGGUGUUAAACCCCUACGCGUAAUGAAAGUGAACGCAGGUGAGAGCUUCGGCGCAUCAUCGACCGAUCCUGAUGUUCUCGGAUGGAUUUGAGUAAGAGCAUACGGGGCCGGACCCGAAAGAAGGUGAACUAUGCCUGUAUAGGGUGAAGCCAGAGGAAACUCUGGUGGAGGCUCGCAGCGGUUCUGACGUGCAAAUCGAUCGUCAAAUAUGGGCAUGGGGGCGAAAGACUAAUCGAACC